GCCUGGGUGGCUCAGUCGUUAAGCGUCUGCCUUCGGCUCAGGACGGAAUCCCAGCGUUGUGGGCUCGAGCCCCACAUCAGGCU
rnacentral:tRNA from 1 species